rnacentral:rRNA from 1 species
GAUGAACGCUGGCGGCGUGCCUAAUACAUGCAAGUCGAGCGAACAGAUAAGGAGCUUGCUCCUUUGACGUUAGCGGCGGACGGGUGAGUAACACGUGGAUAACCUACCUAUAAGACUGGGAUAACUUCGGGAAACCGGAGCUAAUACCGGAUAACAUAUUGAACCGCAUGGUUCAAUAGUGAAAGGCGGCUUUGCUGUCACUUAUAGAUGGAUCCGCGCCGUAUUAGCUAGUUGGUAAGGUAACGGCUUACCAAGGCAACGAUACGUAGCCGACCUGAGAGGGUGAUCGGCCACACUGGAACUGAGACACGGUCCAGACUCCUACGGGAGGCAGCAGUAGGGAAUCUUCCGCAAUGGGCGAAAGCCUGACAGAGCAACGCCGCGUGAGUGAUGAAGGUCUUCGGAUCGUAAAACUCUGUUAUCAGGGAAGAACAAAUGUGUAAGUAACUGUGCACAUCUUGACGGUACCUGAUCAGAAAGCCACGGCUAACUACGUG